CCUCACUGGCUCUCCCUUAUCACGUCAAAAAGAUGGUCUCGAAGUGGCAGCUGGUGGCAUUGGCAGUGGUGGUGGUGGUGGUGGUGGCGGUGGAGAAGGCGGAGGCAAAUCACUUAGGAAGGAACAUGAAAUUGAGUGAAGUUGCAGAAGCCAAUGGCGCGCAAUCCUCUCCCUUCGUGGAGCUCAAAGGAUACUCUGGCUCCAGUGACGUUAAGGGAGCGAUAGGGCGGCAAAAGAGAUGGGUUGGUAGCCUCAUUUUUAAAUUGAUGAAAGUGGCCAAACACGUAAAAGGCGCGUUCUCAAGGAGCGGAGAACUGGACAUCUCUAACUCUGAUCUAGAGAGAGCAUUGAAUGAGGUAGAAUUUGAAGAUUUAGUGCAGAAAAAAGAGAUACCUUCAUUAGAUUCAAUAAUCAAUAAAGAAAGAACGCAGAAGAGCGGUGAAGUAAUAAUAAGAGGAAUAGACACGAAAGGAUAAUAAUGAACACAUCCACCACACUCUCCAUACUCACCACCUUACUACGAAUACGUCAACAGAGUGAAAUGGAAAGCUGCUCAUGAAAAGAAAGGGUCUCGUGUUCACCAAGACGCUUCACUAGUGUGGCUGGUGCGUCAGGGUACCUUCAUCGUGUUACCAUCACGUCACCUGCACCAAGAUACAUUAUUUAGAUACACUGAUGUAUUUUUUGCAGGGUUUUUCUCUUUCCUUUUCUAGUGAGGCAAGGAGUAUUUCUUCCUUAGUCUUUUCUUGCGUGUUUCCGCACUGCACCUCACCGAUCUAUUAGAAGCACCAACAAGACACUCCGCUCCCUGGGUGUCUGUCUGUGAUUGUAAUACAACUGCUAGCCGUAGACUAUUCUGGUUAUGAUCGAACGUUAUGGAGAACAGAGAUAAAGAGAAAUAAAGAGAAAAAACUGCAA